rnacentral:tRNA from 2 species
GGGUCUGUAGCUCAGUUAGUUAGAGCGCACCCCUGAUAAGGGUGAGGUCGCAGGUGCAACUCCUGCCAGACCCACCA